UGGGGAAUAUUGCACAAUGGGGGAAACCCGUGAUGCAGCGACGCCGCGUGAGCGAAGAAGUAUUUCGGUAUGUAAAGCUCUAUCAGCAGGGAAGAAAAUGACGGUACCUGACUAAGAAGCCCCGGCUAACUACGUGCC
rnacentral:rRNA from 1 species